GGUGAAAUGGUAGAGUGGUUUAAUACAUCCCCUUGCUAAGGGGACGGGUCUUCGAAGGCCCCCUGGGUUCAAAUCCCAGUUUCACCU
rnacentral:tRNA from 1 species